CAUUUGUUCCCUAAAUAGGGACUUGUAUGAAUGGCCACACGAGGGUUUUACUGUCUCUUACUUCCAAUCAGUGAAAUUGACCUUCCCGUGAAGAGACGGGGAUAGACAAAUAAGACGAGAAGACCCUAUGGAGCUUUAACUAACCAGCCCAAAGAAAACAAGCUCAACCACCAAGGGACAACAAAAUUCUUUAUGGACUAGCAGUUUCGGUUGGGGUGACCUCGGAGAAUAAAAAAUCCUCCGAGCGAUUUUAAAGACCAGACCUACAAGUCAAAUCAAAUCAUCGCUUAUUGAUCCAAAAACUUGAUCAACGGAACAAGUUACCCUAGGGAUAACAGCGCA
rnacentral:rRNA from 1 species